AUGGGUAUUGAACACUGCAUAGGAGGUUUUAUGUCUCUCUGCAUCCUCAGAGGAGCCGAAAGACUCAUUCAAUAUUUGAAUAAUCUCCUUUGACUGUGCAUAUUCAAACUUAUGGCUAAGCUCAUCAUUCAUAGCUAUCCUUAACAUGCAAUGCAUAGUCGUGCAGUCAUUGAGUUAUUUCAUGUAAGUGUCUCUCAUAGCACG
rnacentral:lncRNA from 1 species